CGGGUGGGCGGGGCUUCCACGGAGGCCUCCUUGUAGGCCGCAGUGAAGCCUGAACUCGAGUAGGGCCCAAGCAAGCCAGGAAGGAGGAGGCAGCCAGAGUGUUCUCUGCAGCAGAAGACCCCUUGCUGCCCUGCUUAACCCAGACCAGCAUUUGCCAGGGCCCAGGGCAAGAAAAAUGGCCUGGAAACACAUGAUGCAGUAAUUUUGCUGAAGAUAAACCGGAGACACACGGAAGCGGCAGUUUGAAAUGGUUGGCUGCUACUAUCCAACUGACUCUCACACCAGUGAGCCACAGCUGCUGCCUCUCACCCCUUUUCUUCCCCUUCGUUCUGCCCUGCUCAGCUGCUCCCUACCAUCAAGGAGGCUCUGGACUGAACUUUGUGCAACGAACGCACCCAGGAAGGACAGGUAACACUUCAAUCUCAACCGGGCUUCCCCACCUCUCUGCCUUCUUCCUCUCUGCUCCUUUUCAGGCACCUUCAGUAAAGAUUUCUAACCAAGCUCUCAUUUUGCUUUCUGUAAGAAGUCAAACAAUCUCUUAAAAAUCCAUAACUAAAUUCCCUACUUCUGUCUGUAACCACCCAAGUCUACCUUAAU